CUGGCUGGCAUGAAGAUGAUUUUAAUGCAGGGUAUUUUGGUGUUACUUUUUGUAGUCUCUACCUUUGAGCAGAAAGUGACUGACUGUUCAGCUAAUGGAGUCACCAUUCAAUGGAGGCCGGAGUUAAGCCAGGUCCAAAAACUCGACCCUUCAAAAGCUCGUCUGGGGAGUUGCCCACCCUCGAGUAUGUCUAUGGAAGAUGAUACACUGCUGUUCUCCGUCGGGUUCCAUGACUGUGGUUUUAGAAAACUGGUGAGUGAGGACAAAGUGAUGUACACCAACCUGCUGACUUAUAACCUGGAUGCUGGACUUCCUCCGAUCACUGAGCUGGUGGCAUGUGUUUAUGAUUUAUCUAGCAACAGCACUGACCUGGAUAACGUGAGAAACGACCUUGUCUUCACUCUGGAGUUGAUGAACAGUGAUUUUAAUGGGCCUGCUCCAUCCACCAUGUUCACAUUCGGCACCAGAAUUCCAAUCCGGGCCAAAGUGGAACAGCAGGUCCUUGGGCCUUUGUGGAUUUAUCUGCAGUACUGCAUGCUAGCAAACACUCAAGACCUCACUCAGGCCAGCCGGCUACAUACACUUAUUUCUGAUGAUGGGUGUCUCAUAGAAAGCAAAGAAGGAAAUGCAACAUUCUUGCCCAGACGAGAGCCCUCGGAAAUCCUCCUUUAUUUCCAAGCCUUCAAAUUUGCCUCCGGAGAACAAGUUUUCCUUCAUUGUGACAUGACGACAUCUGAUCUCCAAAGCUUUAGUGUUGAUAAGAAAGCCUGCCAAUACCAAAAUGGGUGGGGGUGGGAGCUUCUGGAUGAUCCAACCCGAAGUUAUAUCUGUAACUGCUGUGACUCUACUUGUAUUCAACGAACUGGCUUUGAGUCUGUUGUAAUGGCUUCCUGUUCAACUUUUUCCUCAAGGGGUAUAUACACGCCAGGUUCUUGGGCCUUUUACAAUGGUUGACUCUCAACACAGUGCAGAAGAUGAAUCCACAUUCAGGUCAGAUGAAAAAGGACUGGGAGUUCCCGUGUGGGUUGUGGGGCUUUCUGUUUGCCUGGUGCUGAUGUUGAUUGCUGGAUCCAUCGCUUCAAGCUACUACCUGUGUUUUUGGAGGGGUGGAAGGUUGGGAUACAGACCAAGUCGAGAACUUCUGAAUAAAUAUUAAUCUUCUUGA